UUGAUAUGGUAUUUGGUUCGCAACACAUGCCAGUGGAAUGCGUGAGAGAUAGUGCCUUUUGGAUGACUCGCUGCAAUUUACUCUAUCUAUGGUUUGUGGAACCGUAUAAUCCUGACCGUGUCAUGAGACAGUUCGGUCUAUAUCAAGAUAUUCCACCACCGGUUCCAAGAUGUAUCGACGAAGAAACUCAUAAGAUGAGCAAUAUGGGCAGAUCUGGUGUGGACUGGAAUGCAGAAAACAUUGAAUGGAUAAAUCAGUGGAAUAAUGAAGCUCUACAAAAUAUAGUGCCUCAGCAACGAACGUACGAUGCAACUACGACAGAAGCGUACUAUAAUUGGUAUC